GGAGGGGGAGGAGAGGGAAGAUGGAGGAGGGUGGGAGGAGCUGGAGUUAGAGGCAAAGAGAAGAGUGAGAGAAGGGAGGGAGGGAGGGAGAAGGGAAGAGGGGGCAGAAGGGUGGGACGUGCAGAGGAAGAUGGUCCAAGAGCAGGAACACAGGUCCACAGUAGGCUAGCUACAGGGAUUACCUUCUUCAUAGGAGGACAAAGAUCACAGGCACAGAGACUAUGUACAGAAGGGGGCCAGCCUCUAUCUCCCCAGUGGACAUUGUCUGUCCUCCUUAGAGAGCUCAGCUGGGCAAGAGCACAGUAGCUUCAGACUCAAGCCUUCUAUCUUCAGAUCCUGGCCACGGUUUUCACUCACUGAUGCCUCCAUUUCCCCACCUGAAAGUCAGAGGUGGCACCCUUCCCCUCCUUCAUGGUGGAGCAGCAGGCAGUGCGUUGACUACUUCCCAGUUACAACCAGCAGAGAAAGGAACAGAUCAGCCAACCAACAACAAAGGAAGUAGACCCAGGAGCAGGGACAGAAAGGGGGUAUUCCAGAGCCUCUAAGUCACUGGGAGAGGAGGCAAGGCGCUGCACUAUGGCUUGAAGCCCCUAGGCAACAUGAGUAGAAAGGAAGCUAGGCCACAGUAACUGGGCUAUGCUAAUGCACCUUUAGUAAAUGGGGAAAUCCCAGUGGGGCCAUAUUCCAAGUGUGACCUAGUGGAUGGGGAGUCAACACUGUACAAGAAGCUAACGCCGUAAGUGAUGGAAAUGAGUCCGUGUGAGGGAGCCCUGGUGCCUGCAAAGCCAGCUGUGCACCAUCAUGUGCUGUGCACGGUCCUCCUGCCAAGAGGAUGCCCGAUCCAGAUCCAAAAUGCUGGCCUGUGCCCAGCAUCUUGGGGGAGAUGUCUGCUGUCCCAGCCAUGGCAGCAAUCCAUCAACCCCCACAGAAAGCAAGUAGUGAACCUCAUCUAGAUCUCCAAGUGUUCAUCCCUGUGUCCAGAGCUCUCAUAGGGACCACCUGCUGAGGAAAUGCCAUCUCAACUCACUGGAUGUUGAAAACAACUGCAGCAAUCCCCACAUAUUCUAGAAUAGCCACUCACUGGGAGUCCUGGCCAGAGAGACUGUAGAGAGGGAAUGCCUGUGACAUCAGGCCAAGAAAGGAAUCAGUAGAGAAACAAAUGUGUGUGGUCAGAAAAACCUUAGUCACCACCACUCAGGUCCCUGAUUUCAGAACAGGAAAAGGCAGAGAAGAAAUUGAGCAGAGAACCCGGGUAAACUUGCUUCCUCCUUCCUCCUUCCUCCUCCUUUCUUCUCCUUCCUCCUCCUUCCUCCUUCUCCUUCCUCCCUUCUCCUUCCUCCACAGUUUUCCAUUUUUAAUUAAUAAGUGCCUCUGAAAAGCCAUGCAGCAUGCUGCCAGAGUUCAGAGCUGGGCAUGGGCUCUGUGCCGGAGACAUCUCCAACAGCUUCUGAAGGAAAGAAGUCACAGAUCCUACCUGCUACUUACUGAUGGAGAACCUCAUCCAGCCCUCCCAGCUCCCGCAAGGCAAGCUGCAUGUAACCAAGCAAUAGGCAGAUGUCAACGAAGACCCCACCCCUGGCUCUUGUUAGCUCCCAGUGCAGCCUAGGCCUCCUCUCCCUCCCUGAUGAACACAUAUUGGAGAUUCAACUGCUGGAGAGCUAUAAAUCCCCU